GUUGCCGUGUGCGCUGCUGCGAUGGGGGACAUCAUGUGUUCCUCCCUGUUUGAAGAAACCAAAAAUAAAGAAUUAAACUCAUCCGAUGAGCCAACGUACAGUGGUGCAACAUUCGCAUUCCUUUGGAGGCACGUGGCAUGCCUCUGGCUCGUUGCUUGUGUACGCAUCUGUUGCUGAAGUAAACAGGAGGGAUUGCAAAACUGAGGCGACGCAAAUGUGUGUCAGUACGCAACGGCCCGCGAUCAGGUUUCAAAACAAGCCGGCCGGUCACAAGGCCCGGGAGGACGCUAAUAAAGUGUUUUGUGUGUGUCCGUG